rnacentral:lncRNA from 8 species
AUUAUAGGUUUUAGAAACAAGUGUCCAUUGUAGUUUGACAAUUAAACUAUCUGGAAAACUAGGACACGUCGGCUACAUGCUGAUGGCAUAUGGUAGGCUAACAUCCGACAAUGGGCAAUAAAGGACUGCACUGAAUAUGAAAGGCAUGAAUACAUCAUAGAUCUGUGAUUACAGAGGCAUAGACUUAUUUGGCAUAGACUUAUUUGGCAUAGACUCUAAACCAUUUGGCUGGUCAUGAACUGUUAGGCUAUUUAUGGAAAAGUAUCACAACUUAGAAAAGGCAUGUUCUAAGUAAUAAGGGCUGCCAUAAAAGGACAUUUCUAUUUAGUCAUGAAAAAUGGUGGUGAUAGCGCCACCUCCUGCUGUGUCUCCGAGCUAAUAUAACAGGAUGCAGUCAAGACAGCCUAGGCUACACUGAUUAUGACGUUCAAAGAGUGAGGUGAUAUUGCAAAACGUUGCAAAAAUGGUGUCGCAAACAGAAACAAUGUUGCAAACAGAAACAUGGCAAGUCCUGUUUGUAGACUAUCCUAUUCAAUAUUUACCUGCCCUCUGCCUAUAUCCCGUUGUGAUUGGUCGUCCACUAUGACUCAAUGGCAUGUAAACUAAAUAUUGACAUGUUUGGGGUCAAAAGGAAAUGUUAAUUAUCGACUUGAAAUGUCGGUAACCGGAUGGGUGCGAUUCAUUUGUCAACAUUUACGAUCCGACCUGCCUCAGCCAAUUUUCCAGUUGACUAGUUAACGUUACAUCUCUCUUCAUCUUUUCUGCUGAUAAUUAAUUCACUAUGCUGCAACUGAAAAGGGGUGACAGUCGUGUACAAUGAGUUAAUGUGUCCUACUUCUUUGCGAUAAGUGUUUCUUUUGAGGACAUUUUCAAAGCGCACAGGCGUUUUACAUUUCCACCGACAACAAAAGGGCAGGGAUCCUACCAUUUGAUCCCACCCUAUGUGAGCGAGCCUAUGGAAACUUCGCUUCAUCAAUUCUUCAAGGUCGUUGUCGGCAAACUUGACAGGAACUUUUCCUCCGGACUUCGGGCUGUCAAAAGCGUCUGUAUUUGGUCAUCUUGGAAGCGAAGCAUUAUGGAACAUGUAGUUUCAAGGGCAACCUCCUUGCUUAGCUAGAAUACUUUGAACCAGUGGCCCUCAGGAACAGUAACAGACAUGAUGAACACCUCAACAAUUUCGCAUUCAUGCGCAAAUAUGAAAAAUAUUUAGUGAAAUUGUAUGUAUUACAAAUGUCAAUAUGUUCAGAAUGUGUAUGACAUGGAAAUAUAAUAUGUACACAGACCUUGUUGUUUGAUUUCAACAGACAAAACAUUGCAACACAGCUGAGGACAGUGUCACACCACCUAAAAAAUUCCAGGGGAAGUUCCCUGGGUACAUCAUAAAAGUAACUGCCCUGCAUUUUGCAUCCCAGCCAUGUGCAAAUUAGAGGCAGUCCAAAGCAGCGGUCAC